CUCAAUCCAGUAAUUUACAGGACAUCCGAGAAGGAAUACCCCCCCCAAAAAAAGCGUACAACAGGAAAUGACGCAGUUGAGGUUAGAUCAACAACAGGAUCUGGGAGUUACCAUGGAGGAGAAUCCCCUAUCACCAGAGAAGGGCCAACCUCCAACUCCCUCACACCACUCUCAUCAGCAAGCUUUCCAACUGUCCAACCAAAACCACUGCCUUGUCUACUAGUAUAUUCCCAACAGUCGUCUAGAACUGUAGGCCGUCAUUGUAAAUAAGAAUUUGUUCUUAACUGACUUGCCUGGUUAAAUAAAGGUUAAAUAAAAAAAAUAUAUAUUUUUAAAUGUGCAAAGGAGAUGUCCAACGCUGAUCCACGCACCUACCUUUUUUAAAAAGGUAACAGAUGCAUAUCUGUAUUCCCAGUCAUGUGAAAUCCAUAGAUGUUAUUUCAUUUGACUGAUUUCCUUAUAUGAACUGUAACUCAGUAAAAUCUUUGAAAUUGUUGUA